AAUUUGAAAAUAUUAAAUUAAUGGAUACUAUCGAUGUUCCAAUACAAACUGUUUGUCUGUUCGUUUUGGACAUGCACGGAAUCUACAUUAGUUCAUUAAGGGUUCAAAAAUCUCUAGAUACUGGUUUCUAUCAUACCGAACAAUGUGGAAAUGCUUACUGCAAAUUUGUCUUCUAAACAAUGAAUCGUUGUCAUGAGAAUACUCGUUUAUGACACAAUUGCAGCGUGUUAUUCGAUUUUUUACUUGUUUUUGUGCACGGCAUGUAGACCGUGUUCAGCAUGUCUAGAUCAUGUAGUGUCAAUUUUGAUAGAUCGGUUGACAUUUCAAUAAAAAUAUGGACAUGACGGUAUACAACACAAUAGAUCAUUUUUUUAUU